rnacentral:rRNA from 1 species
CGCCUGCAUGAAGCCGGAAUCGCUAGUAAUCGCGGGUCAGCAUACCGCGGUGAAUAUGUUCCUGAGCCUUGUACACACCGCCCGUCAAGCCACGAAAGUGGGGUGCACGCGAAGUCGCUAAGCUAACUCGUAAGAGAGGCAGGCGCCGAACGUGAACUCCGCGAUUGGGACUAAGUCGUAACAAGGUAGCCGUAGGGGAACCUGCGGCUGGAUCACCUCCUUUCUAAGGAA